AUGUGUCAUUUUGUGUAUCGGUUGUGUUUUUUCUUUGUUAUGCAAAGGCUAUUUAGAUGUAAUAAUAUUGAAAAUAAGUUCUCUGGCAGGUUUAUGUCUACAGAGCCUGCAAAUAUUUUCCUUUUUCGGAGAGAAGAGAACUUAGAGCUCGUCCAUUUCAUUGAGACAGUUCGAUAUAGGCGUCUAAAUAACAGAGCAGAAUGUUUCAAAGCCACUUCUGUGGACACAGCGUUGCACUGGCGUGGAGAUGGAUGCAGAUUUGCACCGCUGUGUAGAUGGCUUCUACGUGUUCUUAUAAACACCGCUCGUGUUCAGAACUCAACGAGAAGUACGACAGCAAGCGUGAUUCCCAAACCACAGGCUUUUCCUUGUAGAUGUGCAAACAAGCGGAUUGGAUCCAUCGAAUCCGAAGCAAACUGUCGGGGCUGUCCACUCUUUCCAUCCGAAGAUAAUUGUAAGGUGCAGUGUCCUGUCCACGGAGUGCUCGGAGAUAAUGCAACAGUUCUUCCAGCUGAGGAGGAAGAAGCAGAGGGCAGAGUCGCCACCUAG
rnacentral:rRNA from 1 species